rnacentral:rRNA from 1 species
GGAUACUUGCACUUCAGUUGGCCCACUUACCGCUUUAACUUACCCGCCUGGGAAUUCCGGCCGCAAGGUUAAACUUCAAAGGAUUUGACGGAAAUUCAAAGGAUUUGACGGAAACUCAAAGGAUUUGACGAAAUCUCAAGGGAUUUGACGGAUCUUCCAAGAAUUUGCGGGAAUCUCAUCGGAUUCUGCGGAAGGUACGGGGAUUACUAGAAUGAUGUAGGGGAUACUGGAAUUCCUGGUGUAGUGGUGGAAUGCACAAAUAUCUGGAGGAACACCGAUGGCAAUGGCGGGUCUCUGGGCGUUAUCUGACGCUGAGGAGCGAAAUCAUGGGGAGCGAACAGGAUUAGAUACCCUGGUAGUCCAUGCCGUAAACGUUGGGCACUAGGUGUGGGGGACAUUCCACGUUUUCCGCGCCGUAGCUAACGCAUUAAGUGCCCCGCCUGGGGGAGUACGGCCGCAAGGCUAAAACUCAAA